GACGCAUGUCAACUUGAAUAUGGAAUACUCGCACUGAAAUGAUAACUACAUUCAAGAGAAUUUUAGAAAGCACAAAAACAAUAAACCUUGAACAUUUUUCAAUAGUAGGCUAUACUUGCGCUUUCUUCUCAACCAACAGGACAACGGAGUCCUUGGAAAACCCCUAUCUGUAAUGUGUGACUGUAACUACUAAAUAUCACGAUGAUUAUGGAACGAACAGAGAAUAGGAGACUGCACAUACAAACAGGAGGGGAGGAGCCAGGUUGUCAAGGUGAAUGUAGACCACAGUAAAAAUCUACCCCUUACUACCAAACACGACACCGCGUCCGUGAUUGCUGCAGACAUCGUUAAUGAAAGCCGAUAACAAGGUAGCAGCGGUUCGCGACGAACGGACGCGUAGCAUCACUUACUAAAACUGUACGUUGUGGGGAUGGAGAACAAAUUAUUUGCGCUUAAAACGAAAACGUCGUGUCUGUUCUACGAUCAGGGCGCAAGAAGACGCACGAGCAAAGGUGUCAACAAAAACCACUCAUUCUAUUCAAUUCAGCAUAGCCUCUGGAUAUUUCCCAACCUUGUUGCCUGAUUAUGGAAACAGCACUGAGCUCUGUUUUUCUUAUGAGAUUCAUGUACUGUUCUGACCUGACCUCUCUGAUGUGUCAAAUGGAUCCUCACCCCCAUGAGGUCACCAUCAUAAUUUUGCUUUCGGAUCGGUGACCUACCAGACUGGUCC
ensembl:lncRNA